UGUAACGUAACCUGGAUCUCCUCUUCCAUGACAUAGACCUUGUGAACGUGGUGAUAUGUGCUUGUUAAGAAAGACCUUUCUGACAAGGAGACACCUGAACAAGCCCCUCAGCCCAAAUCUCUUGACUGACAGCCUCCUCCAUCUCAGGCAGUGGACACUCGAGUACUACAGGCACAGAAGAAGAGCAAGAAGGUAAGCUUUGCUGAAGCUCAGUGCACAUUUUCAGAAUCUUAAACUCUGCAUUCUGUAUAUUUAUUUGCAAAAUCUGGCAAGCUUACUUGGAGGUUUGCAGUGCAGUAAGGGCCUUGACUUGUACUUUGAGUGAGCAAGAAAGCUAUGGAAGCAUUUUUAGCAUCCCGUUUUGAAAGAUCAUUCUGCAUGUCCUGUUGAAAGUAGUUAAUAGGUGGUGAAGAACAGAACCAGGAAAGAAAAUGAGGAAACACAGAAUGACGGCUAAGUUUACCUACGUUUUAGUGUCCAUUUUGCAAAGGGAAGCGACAAGAUUUGAUGUUGGUUUGGCUAUGGAGUUAUGGGAAAAUAAAUCGAGGGGUCAAGGAUGGUGUCAGUUAUUUUGUUGGAACAGUUAAGCGGGCAGAGUUUCCCUCAUCUACCCCCUAAGCAUUCUGCAGACCUUUUGCUCCAGGGCUGGAAGACUUUGUUCAUCUCCCUCUCUCUCUACUUCUCAAAACCUUACAAUGUGGAUCUAGGCACAUUCCUGUAUAGAUUGCAAAAGUAGGGGAAAAUUGGCCUGGCUGUUAUAAGAUGAUUGGUGAACUGAAAAGGGUUAAUGGUUAAUUCUGUGGAUAUUCUCUCUUUCUCUGUAUCUGUCUAUAUAUGCACCUAUGAAAAUACAUAUCUGCUUAUCUAUUGGUGUCGUUAUAAUUCUGUCCUACUUUUUUCCAAAAGUGGUUUCCUUAUCUUUAGGAGGAUGGUUGAGUUUAUCUAAAAACGAAUAUAAAAAUCCUAUCUAAAUAUCUUUAUGCCAGAUAUAUUAACUCCAAAAAUUACCGUAACUAAUAUGUUUGUUUAAAAAUACUAUUUUUUUUUUUGUAUAAGUAGUGGCUGGAGUCAUUUAGACAGCUCUUUGAAGUAUGUAUAUUAAAACGUUUGCAAUAUGCUCACAUUCUAGAAAUGCAUAUUUAUCCAAAGUAUUUAUGGAAGAUUAUAAAAUGCCUGCCAUUGAAAUAUCUUCCAAGUGACAUUUUAUACUUAAAUUAAAAGAAAAAUCAGCGUGGGUAUUUGACACUUAAUUACUAUAUAUGGAUCUUCAGAUUGGAAACAAGCUUGAAUACAAUUAUUAGUAUUACCGACAGCAAUUCAAAGGUUGAUUUCAAAUGAAAAACAGUGAUAAGUGAUUGCCUUCUCAGGAGAAAAGGAGAAAGAAGUAGCUGAGCAAGAUUAAGUAUCUAAGGGCUGAUGGACUUGGGUUCUGAAGCCCAAUAACUCUCUGCAGGUCCCUCUUCAGUGAAGCUGUGUCUUGCUCAUCACUUUGAGGGAAAACUCAUAGUUAUCAGGCACCACAUCUAUGUAUCUUUGUGAGGGUUUUGUUCUAAAAGUGCCUUGAAAUGACAGAUAAGACAGUCUCUUCAGGGGGGUGAGUAUAUUUGAGUAGGGGAGUGUAAGAUCUUUGUUUUAGAGGUCUUGGGUGGGAGGGAGGCGUUGGAAGAUGCUGUUUUUAUUGAACAUUUUCUUUAUGUAAAUAAAGAGAUGAUGUUACUUGUUGGGGCAGUUAAAACACACACACACACACACACACACACACACACACACACACACACACACACACACACACACACACACACACACACACACUACAUCCUGCCCUUUGGGGAGCCUGCUCAAGCUGUGCCAGAGGGUGGAGGAACACUUCCAAUGUGGCUGAUACAGGAGUGUGGAGAAUCAGUCAUGCUUUGUCUCCUUCAAGGCGCCUGGAAAGGGGAGGGAGAAAAACAGAAGGGGAAGGAAAUGAGCAGAGCUUGGAUUAUGAAGAAAAAUAGAUAGCAGGCAAAGGUUUCAAGGGGACAAGUCCCUUUGUGCUGGUUGGCUAAUAUGCCCUUGACCGUUAUCCAGUAUUUAACUUUAUGGGUAUACAUGCUGGUACCUAUAAAAUUAACUGGUAUCACAAAUUUCAUUUGGUGGCAGGGGUCGGGGAUGGUGCUGUAUUUGAAUUAGAAGUGAAAUUUCUUUUGAAAGGUAAAUCUCAAAAGAGAAGAUUUUUAUUUUACCUAUUUCUUUACAUGUUUAUAUACGUACACCUUGCUUUUACUGCAAACCACAUAUGCCAGGUAAUAUUUCAGGCACUGUGCAUGCAGGGUUCAGUUAAUUUUCACAACAAUCUUAAUGUGGAAGUCAGAGCUAUCUUUGUACAUUUACUUAUGAAGAAGCAGAACUCCAGAGAAGUUUAAAACUUUAUCAAAGUUUACAUGACUAGUAAGUAGGAUGUGAGAUUAAACUUGGGACUGCCUGACUCUUAAGACUUAAGCAAAUUCUAAAAGGCUGUACUGCCUUUUGAAUGCUCUGUACAUUAUUUGUACUUUGUACAAAAUGACCAUAUAAUUUGUAUUUCCAACUGAGAUAUUUUUGUCUGGGACAAAUACUAAAUAGGACAACAGAUGUGAACUAAGACUGUUCCAGAAAAAUUGGGACAUGCAGCUACCCUAACUAUAUAUCAUGAAUGUGUUAUUGAGAGAGAGCAUAUAAUACACCUACCUGUAGGGUUCUUCUUGAAAAUCUGAACUAUUACCUAAUCUGCAUUUAUAAAAUGUAGUCUUGCAUCCAAUUUUCAGGAAUUAUUCAUCACAAAUGGUUGAUUUCCUGCCUUUGCUCAGAUUUGUGUAAGUGACUCAAUUAUAAUCAAGAAACAGCAGAGCAGGCAAUGUAACCAUGCAAUCAUCAAUAUGGAUCUCAUGCUCUGAUGGGACGCUUCUCUGAUAUUAACUGAAAGCUGAAAGGACAGAGAGUAAAUGAAGAAUUUGCACUUUGCCAUUUCCGAAAAACUAGAAGUGCAUAUUCUUCAUUUCACUGGGUCAGUUCCCCAAAUUUGAUAUCUUGGCACAUCUAGGUAUUUUGUGUGGAAUAUCAGUGUGUAAAUAAAAAAAUUAGUCACUCAUAGAGUACAUUGCAAUGAUAAAUAUUUUAAUACAUGUGGGAAUUAAGGCUCAUCAAUAGUAAAAAUUGGUCAUUGGCAAAUAGAUCUUCCUCUAAUCUCCUCUUGGUGGCAUUUUACAGAAGAGCUGAGAGAGCUCUGAUUGCCUAGCAUCAAUUCCUAGACUUCUGCCUUCCUGUUGGGCCUUGAGAACAUCAUUUGUACUCUCUGGACUUUGUUAGAAUAAGGCAUUCAUUCAGUAAGGAAGGGGGUACAAUCUAGGAAACAGACUCUCUGGACUGCUCUGAUUCCAGGUGCCCUUAUUGAGGGCAUCACAAGAGCAAGGGUUUUUCCAGUCCAUGGUUUCUUUCACAUCAAGAUACCUACCAGUUGAAACAGACACAGCAGUGUAAGUACAAUUGCACGAUUCGUUAGGUAUAAUGAUUGGAACAGAGCCAGCAACAUUUUGCAAGGGAUUGGCAAAUACAUAGGCUUUGAUUUCCAAAUGAUACAAUCUCCUCAAAAGGUUUGUACUUUGAAGUGGAGUAGAGGGAAGAAAGUCUUUCUAGCCAAAAUCAAUCUGCCUUGAGUCCCACCAACAUCUGUGCCAAAACUAGAUUCAUUGAACUCCUUUGCACCAACCAUGCCACACCACUGUAGGAAAUGGUCUGUAAGCACCUUUGUACCUUAUAGGCUUUUCUUCAGUGGCAGCUUUUAAUAACCUUAGGAUCAAUUCUUGUUGGUUGGUGUUAAAAUCAUUCUAGUUUUUCUCAAUCCAUAGGCUGAUACACUCUUUUGAUACACUCUUCUUUUUCUUAGAUACCUUAAAAAAAACCUCUCAUUCUUUCUAAAACAACCUAGGACCACUUUGAAUAUUUUUUUUUUUCCUAUUUGUGGGAUGCUUACCUGAAAGAAGGCGAUAGUCCCAAGAUCUUUCUGGUCAGAGGAUUAAAAACCCAGAAAGAUUAAUUGCUUUGCCUGUAGGAACCCAGUGAUGGAUGGUGGGUUGGAAUUGGAUCACAUGUCAGGAAGUAGGUCAUUCCAAAAAAAGUUUUUGUUUGUUUGUCUGUUUCCUACCAUACCACGAUAUCUCUAGGUGCUGAAUGCAAACCCCACAAAGGCAAGAAUUUUGUCUGAUUCCUUUUUGGCUAUAUUCUUAGGACUAGAAAACACUGGGGCAUCUGUAAGUCCUCAAUAAGUUAUUUGUUAAAACUGAAGCAAUUUCACACUGUUAGUCAAAAGAGGGAUGCAAACACUCAGAUCACAAAUAAGAAUAUAUUGAAGCCAAGUGUUAGGAAAAUAAUAUAAGCCCAAGAAUAAAUUCCUUUUUUUUAAUAUUAGCCUAAGGUUGAAUGCAUUUUUUUCUGGCUACAUGUUUGUACAUUUUUGCAUAUAUUUCAUAAAACAUAUACUAUGAAAAGAUUGCAGUCUCUAAGCAACUUUCAAAAGGAAUCCAUCCUGUAAUGAAAUGUAGAGGCAAUUUACAAUUUUGUAGUUUUGUGUUUUUGGGAGAAAAAAAAAA
rnacentral:lncRNA from 1 species